rnacentral:misc_RNA from 1 species
GAGAAGUUCCUUAUUCCAUGGCUUUUUGUUAUAAACCGCAAAAGUCCAGAAGUUCCAAUGAUCGAUGUACAUUUGAGGUACUCGGGGAGUGACUUACAUGGUGUCAUGGCUAAAGUUGUUGAUAUGCCUCACCAUUAUAUUGAGGUUCAUCCAGACAUUCGCAAGCAUUUCUGGGAUACAAAUCAUUGGCCAAAGCAUGUUCUUGUGAGAUACACAUGGGAGGAACGAUCGGAGAUAGAUG